GAUGAACGCUGGCGGCGUGCCUAAUACAUGCGAGUCGAGCGAACAGACGAGGAGCUUGCUCCUCUGACGUUAGCGGCGGACGGGUGAGUAACACGUGGAUAACCUACCUAUAAGACUGGGAUAACUUCGGGAAACCGGAGCUAAUACCGGAUAAUAUAUUGAACCGCAUGGUUCAAUAGUGAAAGACGGUUUUGCUGUCACUUAUAGAUGGAUCCGCGCCGCAUUAGCUAGUUGGUAAGGUAACGGCUUACCAAGGCAACGAUGCGUAGCCGACCUGAGAGGGUGAUCGGCCACACGGGAACUGAGACACGGUCCAGACUCCUACGGGAGGCAGCAGUAGGGAAUCUUCCGCAAUGGGCGAAAGCUUGACGGAGCAACGCCGCGUGAGUGAUGAAGGUCUUCGGAUCGUAAAACUCUGUUAUUAGGGAAGAACAAAUGUGUAAGUAACUAUGCACGUCUUGACGGUACCUAAUCAGAAAGCCACGGCUAACUACGUG
rnacentral:rRNA from 1 species